rnacentral:misc_RNA from 1 species
GUGAAGAACGUAGCGAAAUGCGAUAAGUAGUGUGAAUUGCAGAAUUCAGUGAAUCAUCGAAUCUUUGAACGCACAUUGCGCCCCUUGGUAUUCCAUGGGGCAUGCCUGUUCGAGCGUCAUUUGUACCUUCAAGCUCUGCUUGGUGUUGGGUGAUUGUCUAUCUUUAUAGACUCGCCUUAAAGUCAUUGGCAGCCGGCAUAUUGGCCUGGGAGCGCAGCACAAGUCGCGCUUCUUGUCAUGAAUGUUGGCGUCCAGUAAGUCUACAUAUUUUGCUCUUGACCUCGGAUCAGGUAGGGAUACCCGCUGAACUUAAGCAUAUCAAUAAGCGGAGGA